CCUACGGGAGGCAGCAGUGGGGAAUAUUGGACAAUGGGCGAAAGCCUGAUCCAGCCAUGCCGCGUGCGUGAAGAAGGUCUUCGGAUUGUAAAGCACUUUAAGUUGGGAGGAAGGGCAGUUACCUAAUACGUGAUUGUUUUGACGUUACCGACAGAAUAAGCACCGGCUAACUCUGUGCCAGCAGCCGCGGUAAU
rnacentral:rRNA from 1 species